rnacentral:rRNA from 1 species
CAAUAGCGUAUAUUAAAGUUGUUGCGGUUAAAAAGCUCGUAGUUGGAUCUCGGCAGGCAGGGGGUGGUUCGCUCUUAGCGCUACUGCCCCAUUUGCCUGUGUGAUUGGCGGAGGUUUCGGGGUGCUCUUCGUUGAGUGACCCGGGGCGCCGUCAGGUUUACUUUGAAAAAAUUAGAGUGCUCAAAGCAGGCUUUUCACGCUUGAAUAUUCGUGCAUGGAAUAAUGGAAUAGGAACUCGUUUCUAUUUUGUUGGUUUUCGGAAAUCGAGUUAACGAUUAAUAGGGACAAUUGGGGGCAUUAGUAUUCAGACGACAGAGGUGAAAUUCUUGGACCGUCUGAAGACUAACUACUGCGAAAGCAUUUGCCAAGAGUGUUUUCAUUAA